AUAAAGUGUGAGGGUCAGUUUGUAGUCUGACUUUGAUACAGGAGGUCAGAGUUGAUGUUCUGUCACAGACCAACUACUGAUGUAGGUUUUUAAUUAAAAUAUUGACUUAUAAAUACAAUAAAGUGGACACUUUGUUAUCAUCACCUUCAUAACAUGAACCUUUGAUGCCUCAUGCUGCUCUUGUGAACAUGAACAUAAACUUGACCAAAUGAAGCCGUCACAUGUUUUUAAGUUAUCAUGUGAAAUAUGUUUACUUAGUAAUAGUGAGCUGGGAGAAAAUUUGAUGUGAUAGAGGAGCUUUAAUACCGACUAUAAGAGGGACACAAGAUGAUAACUGGGGUAGAAAAUGAGGAAGAACUAACCUGGAGACCAAACUGAGAUCAUUAAACUGUUCUCUUCUUGAAAUGGUGAUAAAUGUGCUGCGUGCUGUUUCAAUACUUACAAAGAUUCUCUCACUUUAUUUUUUCAACACAGUCUGCCUUCGAAGAAAUUCCAACAACCCUGAACCCCAUCGGAGUGCUUCCUACCAGGCUCAGCGACCACCUCAGAAUCAAGAGAACGGACCAGCGAACCAAAACCCAAAUGAAGAACAGAGACAGAUGCUUGGGAAUGAGGACCAGGGCGAUACAGCUGAUGGCAACGAACCGGCAGCUGACAACUGAAGCAAGAACAUCCGUCCUUCUACUAUUUGAAGUAAAACACUCCAGUGAAAAAUGUACCAAAGCUCAGCUGUCUGAAGAGAGUGCGUGUAUUUGAAUGAAUGCAUUUCUAGGCACUCCACAGAUGAAGUCUAGUAUCAUUUCAGCAGUUGUUCUCUCUCAGUUGUACGUAUAUAUGGCCAACAUCAGUAUCCUCCAUGACUGCCUGACUGCUAUCAAGGAUUGGAUGUCUCUCAAUUUCCUUCAGUUAAACUCAGACAAAACCGAAGUUCUCUUCUUUGGUCCCAAUAAUUUCAUCCCUGAACUGAAUCCCUCAAUCGGCUCUCUAGCUGGCAUCUCAAACCCUCCUCCAGAGACCUGCACUUUGACUCACACAUAAACAAACUUGUAGAAUCGUACUUUUUCCAACCCAGGAACAUCUCAAAAAUCAAAGCAAUGCUAACAACCAGCCAUCUUGAACUUCUAAUCCACACCCUGAUUUCUCUCACCUUGACCACUGUAAUGCGCUCUUACCCUGUCUCACCUGCAGCUAGUACAAAACGCUGCAGCCAGACUACUAACCAAAACCAACCGCAGGUCCCACAUCACACCAAUUCCUGGCUUCCAGUAAAAUACAGAAUAGAUUUCAAAACACUACUCCUCACAUACAAGGCCAUCCCUAUAUUUCUGAACUCCUACACCCUUACUCCACCUCUAGACCACUCAUGUCUUCCGACCUAGGCCUCCUAUCUAAACCCCGCUCCCUCCUCAAAUGUAAGGGUGACUUCGCUUUUGCCGUCAGGGCCCCGUCCCUCUGGAACAGUCUACCCUCUUCCAUCAGAUCAGCUGAAUCACUAAAUGUCUUCAAAAACUUCUCAAAACCAUCUCUGUCAUCUUGCAUUCCCUACAUUUGAACUGUUAUUAUUCUUUCCCCAUAUAUGUACAUGUUUAUUUUAUCUUAUUUAUCUUAUUUAUUUAAUUUUGUUUGUUUUUAAUUAUAUUUUUAACUAUGUUUUUUGUUUACUGUACCCUGUACACCAAUGAUAGUCCCGGGGCCUCAUUCAGUGCGUUUGCAUGCACAGCUUAGUCAGAUUACAGCCAUAGUUCGACUAUGCUACUCAAUCAGACAACUGCAAUUAUCAGAGUAUACAUGCCAUUGAGAAUAUAGAAUUAUUGGUCACAGCAUGUCGUACCCGGUACGAUAGGUACCCAUUUCAGCUAGUGUUAACAGAAACACCUCCAGCUGACCUCUUUACGUCACCAGCAACAACAAACUGCCUCGGCAUUCCAGAAAGAUGGCGUAUGAAGAGCGAGACGAAGCUACGUGUUUGUGUAAUUAUCAUGUACACCAUAUACGAAGUGUACAAACUAGAAUACACAAUUGCGCUCUUUCUUGCGGUGAUUUCAGAGGAAAGACGCCACCGUCCUUGUGCUUCCCUUGGCUCAUCUCUCAUGUCAUAAUCUGCCGCUUUUAUCCGUAGAGGUCGCAGGGAAGUUUCCGCCAAAUGAAGCCAGAUUGUAGAAAUCAAAUGUGGGAUGCGUCAUCAAACCUCACAUUUUUUUAAUAGAUUAUCUUUAUAACAAACAUUCAAAUCAUCAAUCUAAUCUGUACUAUUCAAUAAGCAAUAAGCACCUUUUUAAUAGCAGAGCAUUUAUAUACAACUAUAUAUGUGAUUUGUAAAGGAUAUUUUAUGUGUAGAUGUGUGUGUGUGUGUGUGUACACUGAUCUGAUGAUUAUUUUUUUUCUUACCUUCUGUGCACACACACACUUUUAGUCUGGGUCCUACUACCUGUUCUAUAAUGCAGCUUUUUUAUAAUUAGCGUGUUCUCUCAGGUCUGAUGUUUUUAGGUCAAAGCUGAGCUGAGGUGAUUAAAAACUCUGCUCUACUGCAGAGUCCACUGACCCAGGUGGAACACAGAGUACACAUUCCCAUCGCACACAAAAAGCACAAAUUUUAGUGGGUUUAAGUGUUAAUGAGACCUCCGAGCUGGAGGAACACUUUAUAUAAUCUGAGUGGGAGCGUUUCAGUUUCCCUGUUAGGCCAGUUUGACCAAGAAUUAGUGACAAACUGUGUCAACGUUGUUGAACAGAAGUCAUUGGUGUGAAAAUGGAAACUUCAUGUGUCCAUUAGUAGUAUAAUAAGCAUUUCAGAUUCAGACUUUGCCAAAGCAGUAACCAAAACUGUGAAGUGUUUCAGUGUUGAUACAUAAACUCAAAUACUCCAACAUCAUGACACAUAAACUGAGUUCACAUUGAUCAACAUGUUUCUGCAUCAUCGUUUACGCAAAUCUCCAGACGUAAACAGAGUUUCUGAUUCUGGUUCCAGCAGCUGAAACAUCAACAUGAGCACUGGAGGCCAAAACGCAAAGAACUAGCUUUGUUGUAAGAAAUAUAUGUGUACUUGUGGACAAGUCCAUUGUUCUAGAAACAAAAGCAUUGAUUAUAAUGUGCCUUAACAUAUGAAUCCAUCCAUUGUUCCUGUCAUGUCUACAUUCAUUCAGGGAUUAUAAACUGAAUGUAGACUGGUGCUAAAUAUGUGAUACUCACCAGGUUCUAUUGGAGUUUAUGUUCUGCACUGAAAAAAGUUUAAUAAACAUUUUGUUUUUUUACUGUAGCUGUAAAAAAAAAAUGUUGAACGUGUAUGAAUUUAAUUAUGAAUGAAUACAAAAAAUUGUUGUGCAUUUUUACGGGAGUGUUUUUUUAAAUUU
rnacentral:lncRNA from 1 species